rnacentral:rRNA from 1 species
UUGCCCUACGGGGCGCAGCAGUGGGGAAUAUUGCACAAUGGGGGAAACCCUGAUGCAGCGACGCCGCGUGAGCGAAGAAGUAUUUCGGUAUGUAAAGCUCUAUCAGCAGGGAAGAAAAAUGACGGUACCUGAGUAAGAAGCACCGGCUAAAUACGAGCCAGCAGCCGCGGUAAUACGUAUGGUGCAAGCGUUAUCCGGAAUUACUGGGUGGAAAGGGAGCGCAGGCGGGCGGGCAAGGAUGAUGUGAAAGCCCG